rnacentral:rRNA from 1 species
CAGCAGUGGGGAAUCUUAGACAAUGGGCGCAAGCCUGAUCUAGCCAUGCCGCGUAAAUAAAGAAAGCCUUAGGGUCGUAAAGCUCUUUCGCCUAUGAUGAUAAUGACAGUAGCAGGUAAAGAAACCCCGGCUAACUCCGUGCCAGCAGCCGCGGUAAUACGGAGGGGGUUAGCGUUGUUCGGAAUUACUGGGCGUAAAGCGCACGUAGGCGGAUUGGAAAGUUGGGGGUGAAAUCCCGGGGCUCAACCCCGGAACUGCCUCCAAAACUAUCAGUCUAGAGUUCGAGAGAGGUGAGUGGAAUUCCAAGUGUAGAGGUGAAAUUCGUAGAUAUUUGGAGGAACACCAGUGGCGAAGGCGGCUCACUGGCUCGAUACUGACGCUGAGGUGCGAAAGUGUGGGGAGCAAACAGGAUUAGAUACCCUGGUAGUCCACACCGUAAACGAUGAAUGCCAGUCGUCGGGCAGUAUACUGUUCGGUGACACACCUAACGGAUUAAGCAUUCCGCCUGGGGAGUACGGUCGCAAGAUUAAAACUCAAAUGAAUUGAC